rnacentral:rRNA from 1 species
UACGAAGGGGGCUAGCGUUGCUCGGAAUUACUGGGCGUAAAGCGCACGUAGGCGGCUUUCUAAGUCGGGGGUGAAAUCCUGGAGCUCAACUCCAGAACUGCCUUCGAUACUGGAGAGCUCGAGUCCGGGAGAGGUGAGUGGAACUGCGAGUGUAGAGGUGAAAUUCGUAGAUAUUCGGAAGAACACCAGUGGCGAAAGGCGGCUCACUGGCCCGGUACUGACGCUGAGGUGCGAAAGCGGUGGGGAGCAAACAGGAUUGAGAAAC